GAAUCCACUUGAUCAUUUAGAAGUCGCUGGUGGCCACCAAAUCUUUUCUUCUUACCCACCUCCUUCCGGAAAGGAACCUCGCACUUCCCACCUAGGCCUGCGCUUCCCGGUCUUUCUCUCUCUCCUCUCUUCAAAACCUCUCAAAGCAAAGCAGCAAAGGAGGGAAGAAAAACAGAAGAUAGGCUAAGCUAAGAAAAGUAAAGCAAAGGAAAAAGAAAAAGAAGAAUGUGUCCAUUGAGAAUUAUCCUAAUCUUCCUGUCUGCUACUCUUGCCGGAUUCUUCGUCUUCCGAAAUCUCAAAUCUCAACCCACCACCGAUCUUGACUCCGACACCGACACCCUAAACACUGUAGAAUGCAAUUCCCCAGAUAACCUCUCAAAGUCUCCUUCUUUUUCCUCCAAGGUAUGUGGGGCAAUUGGGAAAGGGUUUUGGACGUGCGUGGACAUGGCAAGUGGAAGAUAUUUGUGGAGGAAUUUGGUGGGCUCCGAGUCCUCUUCUCCAGCUUCUGAAAAGGCCGACUGAUGAUCCCGGUGGUAAAGGUUGAUCAUUGGGUGGGAUUAGGUUUUGUGAUUUGUUACUCCACUUGUUGUAUUGUAUGCUAUGGACUGAACUCAAAUUGUGUUCGCUUUCCAUUUGUAAUUUUGCUUUUCAAUUAGGGCUACGAGUUUAGGAGUCUGUAUCAUCUUAAUUGUAAAGCUUUACUGUUAUGAAAAUACCACGAGAAUACCUGCGUGGAAUGUAGGUUAUUUUUCGUAAUAAUAUACAUUGUGUUGGGAAUUUC